rnacentral:rRNA from 1 species
GAAGCUAAAGGAUUUAUUCACUUCCCGAGGGGCUCGCGGCCCAUCAGCUUGUUGGUGAGGGUAACGGCCCACCAAGGCGACAACGGGUAGCUGGUCUGAGAGGAUGGUCAGCCACACUGGAACUGAGACACGGUCCAGACACCUACGGGUGGCAGCAGUCGAGAAUCAUUCGCAAUGGGGGAAACCCUGACGAUGCGACGCCGCGUGGAGGAUGAAGGCCUUAGGGUUGUAAACUCCUGUCAAGAGGGAAUAAGCAAGUGAAGGUACCUCUAGAGGAAGGGGCGGCUAAUUCCGUGCCAGCAGCCGCGGUAACACGGAAGCCCCGAGCGUUGUUCGGAUUCAUUGGGCGUAAAGGGUGCGUAGGCGGCGCGGAAAGUCCGGCGUGAAAGGCAGGGGCUCAACCUCUGGACUGCGUUGGAUACUUCCGUGCUUGAGGACUGGAGGGGAGACUGGAAUUCACGGUGUAGCAGUGAAAUGCGUAGAUAUCGUGAGGAAGACCGGUGGCGAAGGCGAGUCUCUGGACAGAUCCUGACGCUGAGGCACGAAGGCUGGGGGAGCGAACAGGAUUAGAUACCCUGGUAGUCCCAGCAGUAAACGAUGUGAGCUUGAUGUGGGGGGAUUCGACCCCUUCCGUGUCGAAGCUAACGCGAUAAGCUCACCGCCUGAGGAGUACGGCCGCAAGGCUAAAACUCAAAGAAAUUGACGGGGACCCGCACAAGCGGUGGAGUAUGUGGCUUAAUUCGAUGCAACGCGAAGAACCUUACCUGGCCUUGACAUGCAUUGUGUCGUCGGUGAAAGCCGGCUAGUCCUGGAAACAGGACGCUUUGCACAGGUGCUGCAUGGCUGUCGUCAGCUCGUGUCGUGAGAUGUUGGGUUAAGUCCCGCAACGAGCGCAACCCUUGUGGUCAGUUACUAACCGGCUUAGCCGGAGGACUCUGGCCAGACUGCCCUGUCAAACGGGGAGGAAGGUGGGGACGACGUCAAGUCAGUAUGGCCCUUAUGGCCAGGGCUGCACACGUACUACAAUGCCCGGUACAAUGUGAACCGAAACCGCGAGGUGGAGGAAAUCGCUCUUGAAAACCGGGCCCAGUUCGGAUUGGAGUCUGCAACUCGACUCCAUGAAGUCGGAAUCGCUAGUAAUGGCGUAUCAGCAAC